rnacentral:lncRNA from 1 species
GUUUUCCUUUCUCCUCUACAGCUUGUGUGACUUUUUCUUGCCAAAUUGCACCGGCAAGAACCUCCGAUACAAUGGGAAAAGGAAGGGCGGCUCAGCCUCUCGGGACCAAGACCCGUCUGCUCACGUCUGCCUCUUCCCCCCGAGUCAAGGCGGUGGCAUUCUACUCCCCCGGACACUGGCCAUCGGACGCAGUUUUCAAGAACACGAUCACGAAGCGGUUUCUGACCUCUCCCCCCACCCCAAACCCCGGGGCUCUUGCCCAGCCUCCUGAUGUCCGCCGCAAGGUGCCAGGCGGGGCCCCAGGUGUGUUCCCGUUUCUAAACAGAUGAUGAUAAGUCCCCUGCCACAGGCCGGGACGGGCCGCAGAGGGCUGGCCUGGGGCUCCACGUGCUGGUCGCAGGCUGAGGCUGAGCCGCUCCUGGAAAGCUUCACGUGUGCUCCCGUUUGCAAGAAUGGCCUUCCACCAAGGCCCGUCUCCCCCACCGGACUGUCCGGUUCAAAUCGGCCCCCAUCCCUCCGGCCCUCCCGGCUUGUCAGCUACGCAGAUGUGC